CUGGGAGAAAGGGGAGUGACCAGUCCACAAGAACCUCCUGACUCGAUCUUUUGUAGGCUCGGCAUCGUAGUGUCAGCCCCUGCAUCUCCCUCAGUUUACCUGGCCUGGGGCAGGAUGAGAGGACCACCACCCCCCAUCUUGAUGCCUAUCCCUAGAGGUCAAGAGAGAAGCCAGAUGGAGCCAGGCUGAACAACAGUUCUUUGCACUUGCAGUUUAUCUGCCUAGAAUUCUUCCAUCAAGAGGAAUAUGACCAAGGUUCUGAGUAGUAGAGGAGGAUUUGAACCAGGAUCUCAACAUGGAGUCCGUUUACUCCA
rnacentral:lncRNA from 1 species